GGAAACCGGAGCUAAUACCGGAUACGUUCUUUUCUCGCAUGAGAGAAGAUGGAAAGACGGUUUACGCUGUCACUUAUAGAUGGGCCCGCGGCGCAUUAGCUAGUUGGUGAGGUAAUGGCUCACCAAGGCGACGAUGCGUAGCCGACCUGAGAGGGUGAUCGGCCACACUGGGACUGAGACACGGCCCAGACUCCUACGGGAGGCAGCAGUAGGGAAUCUUCCGCAAUGGACGAAAGUCUGACGGAGCAACGCCGCGUGAACGAAGAAGGCCUUCGGGUCGUAAAGUUCUGUUGUUAGGGAAGAACAAGUACCAGAGUAACUGCUGGUACCUUGACGGUACCUAACCAGAAAGCCACGGCUAACUACGUGCCAGCAGCCGCGGUAAUACGUAGGUGGCAAGCGUUGUCCGGAAUUAUUGGGCGUAAAGCGC
rnacentral:rRNA from 1 species